GCUCUUGGUUCCUCCCACACUGCUUCCGCCUUUAGCAGGUUUUGGCGUACGACAGGGGAGGAGAUUCCCUCCCGCCGACAGGUUGCUGUCAUUACAGACACCAUGUUAUCCUACUCCCGGUGUCUCACCCGGAACUUCGGUCGUUCUCUCUCGGUCUUUCGUCAGGGAAUCAAUGUGUCUGCACGGCGGGCUGUGCCAGGAUUGUCAGCUAGCUGUAGUGUCACUGUCAAUAAACCUACGAAAUGUGAAGCCAGGUCCAGCAUCUUCCAAAUCAGAUACUUCAAGACAUCUGUAGCUUGCAGGAAUGAAGUCAUCACAGUAAAGACACCUGCAUUUGCAGAGUCUGUCACGGAGGGGGAUGUGAGGUGGGAGAAAGCGGUUGGUGAUUCUGUCAAAGAGGAUGAGGUGGUUUGCGAAAUUGAGACCGACAAGACAUCCGUGCAGGUGCCGUCUCCUGCUGCUGGGGUGAUUGAGGAGCUGCUGGUCCCUGAUGGGGAGAAGGUCGAGGGAGGGCAGGUUCUCUUCAAACUCCGGAAAGGGGCUGUUGCUGCCCAAGCUGCAGAGGCCCCAGCAGCAGCAGCCGCUCCUCCACCCCCCCCAUGAUGCAGCCACAACGCCCUCUCCUGCUCCCUCUGCAGUGGGCCCCAUCCCUACCACUAUGCCCCCAGUGCCACCUGUCCCAGGAGCUGCCAUCUUUGCCACACCAGUUUCAGCCAUCAAACCCACUGCUGCUCCUGCUGCCCCAGCCGCUGUCACAGAUGGAGGGGGUAAACCAGUCAGGACAGAGCACAGGGUGAAGAUGAACCGUAUGCGUCUGAGAAUCGCCCAGAGACUGAAGGAAGCCCAGAACACCUGCGCUAUGUUGACAACAUUUAAUGAGGUCGACAUGAGCAACAUCAGUGAGAUGAGGAAGGCCUACAAAGACGCUUUCCUGAAGAAACACAACAUCAAGCUGGGCUUCAUGUCUGCAUUUGUCAAGGCUUCAGCAUAUGCUCUGAUGGAACAGCCUGCCGUCAACGGAGUCAUUGACGACACCACCAAAGAGAUUGUGUACAGGGACUACGUGGACAUCAGUGUGGCUGUAGCAACACCAAAGGGCUUGGUGGUGCCUGUCAUCCGUGGAGUGGAGGGAAUGAACUUCGCUGACAUUGAGAAGACCAUCAACGAGCUGGGGGAGAAGGCUCGUAAGAAUGAGCUGGCCGUGGAGGACAUGGAUGGAGGAACCUUCACCAUCAGCAACGGUGGCGUGUUUGGAUCCAUGUUUGGCACGCCCAUCAUCAACCCUCCACAGUCUGCCAUCCUGGGAAUGCAUGGUAUCUUCGAUAGGCCAGUGGCCAUCGAGGGCAAGGUAGAGAUCCGCCCCAUGAUGUACGUGGCUCUGACGUACGACCAUCGCCUCAUCGACGGCAGAGAGGCGGUCACCUUCCUGCGUAAGAUCAAGACUGUGGUAGAAGAUCCCAGAGUGCUGCUACUGGACAUGUGAGCCAGCCUCCCCAGUCAAUGGCUAAACAAACCAAUCUACCAACCUUCACACGCAGCAGCUAUACCUGCCUGAUUAACCUAAACUGCAGACGUUUUGUGUUGGUUAACUAGGAAAAGGGAUACUUGAAUAGACCAAAAGGUGCAUUGGACUUAUUGCAUGGGCUGAAAUUGUGAAAUAAUUUAUGCUAAAUGUUGUGUGUCUGGGGCAGGGAGUGUGUGUUGUACAUCUCAAAGCACCAUUUGCUAUUUUCUACCUACAAUAAUUGUAAUAUAAAUGGCAAAAAGUUGCAUUAAGUAUUUUUCAUGUACAAUAACAAUUGUAGCCUAUCAGAAGAUAUACUGUUCAUGGUACAGGUUGCUUUGUUACACUGAAAUGUCAGGACCCAGUCAUCUUAUUCACGCACACUCUUAAAUUCUGUUUAUGCUGUGUAAAAAAAACUAUUUAAAGACCAGAUUAAGGUUUAAAAA